CGCCGCUCAGCACGGCCGACGCGGGCUUCUGGUCCCGCCCCGGAAGCCUGAGGAGGCGGCUGCCCAGCUGUCCUGGUCUUCGUGGUGUCAGGGCACUUUCAUGUCUUGUUCCUCACCAUGUCCCCUGUGCCUAGGACAUGGCCUGACACAUAGUGGAGUGGAGAAGAGCCUUCUGAAAAUGGCCCCCAGCAUUGCUUCAGAAAUUGGGACCACAGCUGCAAUGACUCGAUGAGCGUGAGUGAGACCAUUUCCUCUUCCUUCCUCCAUCCUUACCUCUAGUUAACACAAGGAUGGAUUCACUACCUGGGAAGAGGCCUUGCCACUAGGUCAUCUGGAUAAGUAAUCCUGCCAAUAAGUCUGGAAGUAGCAUGUAUUAUCUUUUUUUAUUUUUAUUUUUUGAAUGUCUGACACAUUGACUGAUUCUUAGCACAGUGCUGGCACAUAGCCGGCAAUAUAUAUUUGACAAAUAUCUAAUGAAAAAAUAAUUGAAUGUCGGAACUGGACCUUCUCCACCUAUCUGUUAAUGCUGAUCAUUUUUCAGUUGUCAGCUCAGAUGUCACUUUCCUAAGCCUUCCAGGUGAGAUUAUCGCCCCGCACCCACCACUUUUUAUGUGGUUAGAGUUCUCUAUACUUUUUUUCACAGAACCCAUUUUAUAAUUUGUGUGUAUAAAUGUAAUUUAUAAUUUAUUUAAUUGUGAAACUAUUUGACAUCUGUCUGUAAAGCUGCGAUCUUGUUUCCUAGUCUC